GUGCUCACUUCAGCAGCACAUAUACUAAAACUGGAAUGAUACAGAGAUUAGCAUGGCCCCUGUGCAACAACAAUAUGCAAAUUCGUGAAGCGUUCCAAAUUUUU